rnacentral:rRNA from 1 species
UACGAAGGGGGCUAGCGUUGCUCGGAAUCACUGGGCGUAAAGCGCACGUAGGCGGACUCUUAAGUCGGUGGUGAAAUCCUGGAGCUCAACUCCGGAACUGCCUUUAAGACUGCAUCGCUAGAAUCAUGGAGAGGUGAGUGGAAUUCCGAGUGUAGAGGUGAAAUUCGUAGAUAUUCGGAAGAACACCAGUGGCGAAGGCGACUCACUGGACAUGUAUUGACGCUGAGGUGCGAAAGCGUGGGGAGCAAACAGG